AUAUAUAUAUAUAUAAUAUUUUUACGGCAAAAAAUAUUAUAUCGCUACUUACUUAAUCCUCGUAUACAACAUUGGCUGUUAUGUGUGAUUGUAGGCAAAUCGCAGGUUUAGACUUCAAUAGCUUAGGUCUCGACAUCGAUGAAUUGUUUGGGGUCGAAUUGCAAACAAUGGUUCUUCAGAUAAGGCAAAACGGACGACGAACGGAAUUCAAUGAUAAGCCGGAGGAUCAAGAUUCGGACGGCACGAUAUAAAAUUUUCGGCCUUGAGGAUAAAAAACAAAAUCAAAAUCAAAUAUUGCUCCAAGUUGCGCAUAUGUUGUAUUAGGAGGCAAUAGAUAUACAACGAAGUUACUGAGUGUAUUGUUAGUUUGUUUAGACAUAUUCUUUUAUUCAACUAUUUUUUCCCUUUUAUUUUUCUCUAGCUACACAGAAACAUCUUUACUUCAUAAAGCGUGUUUUGCUUUAGCAUAUAUUGUAUUUUCAUUAUCUCAAUUUACUCUCAUGUAUGCAUGCU